rnacentral:rRNA from 1 species
CCUACGGGCGGCAGCAGUGAGGAAUAUUGGUCAAUGGACGAGAGUCUGAACCAGCCAAGUAGCGUGAAGGAUGACUGCCCUAUGGGUUGUAAACUUCUUUUAUAAAGGAAUAAAGUGAGGCACGUGUGCCUUUUUGUAUGUACUUUAUGAAUAAGGAUCGGCUAACUCCGUGCCAGCAGCCGCGGUAAUACGGAGGAUCCGAGCGUUAUCCGGAUUUAUUGGGUUUAAAGGGAGCGUAGAGGGGUUGGUAGGUCAGUUGUGAAAGUUUGCGGCUCAACCGUAAAAUUGCAAUUGAUACUGGCAGUCUUGAGUACAGUUGAGGUAGGCGGAAUUCGUGGUGUAGCGGUGAAAUGCUUAGAUAUCACGAAGAACUCCGAUGGCGAAGGCAGCUUACUAAACUGCCACUGACAUUGAUGCUCGAAAGUGUGGGGAUCAAACAGGAUUAGAUACCCUGGUAGUC